GGAUGUCUUUGUUUUUCCUCUGCACAGUUUGGAUCGAACCUCUCUGGUUUAAAUUUCUCUGGUUCAGGGAAGUUCUUAGGGUCCUUAGCAAGAACUCCAAGAGCCAACCAAACCCAUGUUCCCUUGGGAAGUUUAUAGCCUCCAAUCUCCACUUCAGCUGAUGUUUCUCUGGCAACUAAGGGCGAGACAAUGUAACACCUCAUUGCUUCUUUGAUUACCUGAUCGAGGUACGGGAAUUUCUGCUGAAGAUCAUUGGCAGUGGGCAUGUUAUCAUCAGGGCCAAAAGCAUCUAUCUCAGCAAGCAACUUUUGCUCAACUUCUGGAUGGCAAGCAACCAGAUAGAUGAUAGAAGACAAAGUAAAGGAUGUUGUUGCAGAACCCGCCAGCAAGUGCUCAUAAGUUACAGCACUGAUAUAAUCUGAGGUAAAAACAUUCUUAGCUAACUUCUCUGACUCCCUUGCCUGCAUUAUAAGUGACAAGAAGUCUUUCGAGCUACGAUCUUUUUCCUCAAUCCUCUUUGCCACUAUCUCAUCCAGCCUACUGCUUAAAU
rnacentral:misc_RNA from 1 species